UCCGGUUUGACACCGGCGGUCCCCUUAGAGUCCCCGGCAUGACCCGAUGGUAACUAAGGGCAAAGGUUUCGCUCGUUAAGGGACUUAACCCGACAUCUCACGACACGAGCUGACGACAGCCAUGCAGCACCUGUGCCAGUUGUACCCCUUGCGGGGCCUACCGUACUUUCAUACGGAUAAUCCAGGCAUGUCAAGCCCAGGUAAGGUUCUGCGCGUUGCUUCGAAUUGAACCACAUGCUCCACCGCUUGUGUGAGCCCCCGUCAAUUCCUUUGAGUUUUAGCCUUGCGACCGUACUUCCCAGGCGGUCCACUUAACACUUUUGCUCCGACCGCGACGGCGUCAAAACCGCCGCGAUCCAGUGGACAUCGUUUAGGGCCAGGACUAC
rnacentral:misc_RNA from 1 species